CCAAAGGUUGCCGGAGACUCUACUAAUUCCACCAGGGGGUUAUAACCGGCCACAUUGGAACUGGAACCACCUGGGGAGAUUUAACCACUGAUGCAGUUGACCUCCCGAGGUUCUGAUUGAAUUAUGCAGGUGGAGCCAGAGCGAGGGGGAGGUUUUCAAAUCUCACCAGGUCUAACAAGUAAGGGUUGAGAAUCACUGUUCCAAGCCUUUUGGGAGCUCUUCCUAUAAAAAUGCCUUCAAAGUCUAUGACACUUCCCAUGAAUCUUGUCAACAAGAUUCUUAUUUUAAAGACAGACUGGAUUUAAAAAAAAGAAAUAGCUUUAGGUUGUUUAGAACUGAAUCUGUGCAAUAGGAGUGAAAUACUGGUCUUUGUCCUGAAGAGGAGGAGAAACCUCAGAAAUACACCUGGGAUCCUCGUGUGGCUCCCCAGGUGGUUUCAAAGGUAAUCGUUCACUGAACACAAGCCGGAGCUCUGCUGGGGCCAAAGCUCUCAAGCAGAUCAGAGCUGGUUCUCCAGGCGAAUGGCGGCCAGGACCCAGGUCCUGAAUUCUGCCACUGGGACUUCCUCACAUUGGCAUCUAUUUGAGGGGCUUUGCUAAAUGCCCUGGCCUGCUCCUGCCACAUGGAGUUGUACCCUCAAAAUAUUCCUGGUUUCCGGGCAAAGGUGCCCUCUGUUGUUCCUGCUUUGUGACCAGCAUCUCCAGGCUGCACUGAAGCCCAAGCUGUGGCCUGGGGUUGAGGGUACCAGAUCCCAGGAAGGCUGAGAGUCCCUUAACAUCCCCAGGAAUGGGACAGAGUAACAUCAUAUACCUCCUGAUAUGCUACCCAAAGAUGAACCCAGCAUCACCUUUGGGGUACCCCAGCCAAGACUGUACAGCGUAAAUCAUCAUAAGGAAACAUCAGACAAACCUGAAAUGAGGAACUAAGACAUUCAUCCCCCAACCGAGGUGGAAGGUGGCAACUACGCUGAGGAAAAGCACUUAGAACCACAAGGCUGAUGAUUGAGACUCCUGAAAUAUCGCCCUGUUACCUCCUCACCGCCAACCAAUCAGAAGGAAAUCAUGCACACUCCAGCCAUCACCCCAAACAUUGCAUUUAAAAAGCCUUCCCUGGGGGGACACAUAUUUUUUGAGAGGCAGGAGCCUGCUUUGUCCUCCUUUGGCUGCCAAAGCAAUAAAGAUAUUCAAAUACUUCACCAAAAA